UACAGAGGGUGCGAGCGUUGUUCGGAAUUAUUGGGCGUAAAGGGCGCGUAGGCGGUGCGGUAAGUCACCUGUGAAAUCUCCUGGCUCAACUGGGAGCUUGCAGGCGAAACUGCCGUGCUGGAGUGUGGGAGAGGUGCGUGGAAUUCCUGGUGUAGCGGUGAAAUGCGUAGAUAUCAGGAGGAACACCUGUGGCGAAAAGCGGCGCACUGGACCACAACUGACGCUGGAGGCGCGAAAAGCUAGGGGAGCAAACAGG
rnacentral:rRNA from 1 species